rnacentral:lncRNA from 1 species
AUGGGGAGCCCUCUCAGCCCAGUAGUAGCAAAUUUCUAUAUGGAAUACUUUGAAAAACAGGCCCUAGAAACAGCACCAAAAAAGCCAACUGUUUGGUUCAGAUACGUAGAUGACACCUUCACAAUUUGGAGCCAUGGAGAGGAAGACCUCAGCAAGUUCCUGGACCAUCUUAACAGCAUCCACCUAAACAUCCAAUUCACCAUGGAAAAAGAAAAGGAAGGAAAACUACCAUUUCUAGAUGUUCUGGUCAUCCGCAAACCCAAUCAACAACUGGGCCACACAGUUUACAGAAAACCUACACACACAGAUAGAUACCUUCAUAAAAACUCCAACCAACAGCCAAGUCAAAAAAGAAGCACAAUCAAAACCCUGACGGACCGUGCACAAAGAAUAUGCGAACCUCACCUCCUCCAAGGUGAACUCAACCACCUAAACUGGGCUCUACAGGCCAAUGGAGACUCCACCACAGACAUCAGAAGAGCUGCAAGGCCAAGAACAAGCCAUGAGAGUCAAGACAAAGAUCCACCCAAAGGAAAGGUGUUCUUACCAGACAUCAAGGGAACCACUGACCGCAUAGGGAAGCUGAUGAAGAAGCACAACCUACAAACUAUCUACAGACACACAAAGAAAAUCCAACAAAUGCUACGGUCAGCGAAGGACAAGAGGGAUCCUCUCUCCUCUGCAGAUGUCUACCAGAUACCAUGCAGCUGUGGACAAGUCUACAGAGGGAACACCAAACGCAGCAUUGCCCAAACAAGAGUCAAAGAACAUGAAAGGCACUGCAGACUAAUUCAACCAGAUAAGUCAGCCAUAGCAGAGCACUUGAUGAACCAGCCUGGACACAGAAUACUAUUUGAGAACACAAAAAUGCUUGACCACUCCAACAACUAUCAUGUCAGACGACACAGAGAAGCCAUUGAAAUCCACAAGCAUGUGGACAACUUCAACAGAAAGGAGGAAACCAUGAAAAUGAACAAAAUCUGGCUACCAGAAUUAAAAAACUCUAAAAUCAAAACAGUAGAUGGGAAGCAACACUCUGAGGGCAGAGCACAGCUAAUGACUGAACAAAGGAUGCCCCCAGGCAAGGGACAAAACCUUUCCAAUGCUAAUUAG